GGGCUUGUACAGGUUUCGACGGGGAUUUUGAAUUCGGAGAAGCAAGCCGUAUGGUAAUGCGUUAAAUUCCACACUAAAUAUAAACGCUGAAGAUAAUUUAGCAAUUGCUGCCUAAUGGCAGCUGUCAGCCUUAGUGCACCUGCACAUUAAGAAUCUGGCAUCGACUUUGCGGGAAACGACACGCGUAAAGCUUUGAACGCGCGGGCGUAUUAUGAAGCUACUGAACACGGAAUUGUGUCUGUUCAAGUCCGUGAGAGGGAAUGUUAAAUAACUGACUAAGCUUGUAGAAGUACGAUGGAUAGGUUUUCGGACGCGGGUUCGACUCCCGCCAGGUCCACUG
rfam:Butyrivibrio sp. CAG:318 genomic scaffold, scf29